rnacentral:rRNA from 1 species
GAUGAACGCUGGCGGCGUGCCUAAUACAUGCAAGUCAAGCGAAAGGACAAGAAGGUUUCUUCUCUGAUUUAAGCGGGGGACGGGGGAGUAAAACGUGGAUAAACUUCCUUUAAGACUGGGAUUACUUCGGGAAAACGUUGCUAAAUCCGGAAUAUCUUUUCAACAGCAUGGUUGAAAAGUGAAAGACGGCUUUGCUGUAACUUUUCGAUGGAUCCGCGCUGCAUUAGCUAGUUGGUAAGGUAACGGCUUACCCAGGCAACGAUGCAUAGCCGACCUGAGAGGGUGACCGGCCACACUGGAACUGAGACACGGUCCAGACUCCUACGGGAGGCAGCAGUAGGGAAUCUUCCGCAAUGGGCGAAAGCCUGACGCAGCAACGCCGCGUGAGUGAUGAAGGUCUUCGGAUCGUAAAACUCUGUUAUUGGGGAAGAACAUAUGUGUAAGUAACUGUGCACAUCUUGACGGUACCUAAUCAGAAAGCCACGGCUAACUACGUG